rnacentral:rRNA from 1 species
AGAGAUUCCGUCACCACCAAAAGAGUUAAGCACAGGGACACAUUUGAAGUCUCGGAGCCGGGUGUUGGUUCCGGUAGCGAUCGAGGGAAAUUAGUACCGAAGUCCGGGAUGGAAGAUGGCGAGAAAAGCUGUGCGUAUUUCUGCGGUGCCCGUACCGCAAACCGACACAGGCAGGUAGGAAGAAGAUUCUAAGGCCAACGGGAGAAGGGUUGUUAAGGAACUCGGCAAAUUGACCCCGUAACUUCGGGAGAAGGGGUGCUCCAGAGAUGGAGCCGCAGAGAAUCGGCCCAAGCAACUGUUUACCAAAAACACAGGUUUGUGCUAAAUCGAAAGAUGACGUAUACGAGCUGACGCCUGCCCGGUGCUGGAAGGUUAAGAGGAGAUGUGCAAGCAUUGAAUCGAAGCCCCAGUGAACGGCGGCCGUAACAAUAACGGUCCUAAGGUAGCGAAAUUCCUUGUCAGGUAAGUUCUGACCCGCAUGAAAGGCGUAAUGAUUUGGGCACUGUCUCGACAGCCCGCCCGGCGAAAUUGUAGUACCGGUGAAGAUGCCGGUUACCCGCGACAAGACGGAAAGACCCCAUGGAGCUUUACUGUAGCCUAAUAUUGGGUUUCGAUGUUGCAUGCACAGGAUAGAUGGGACACAGGGAAGUGAUCGCCUUGGCGGUCAUGGAGUGGCCGUUGGGAUACCAUCCUUGCGAUAUUGGAAUUCUAACCUGCGCCUUUGAAUCAAGGCGGGGGACAUUGUUAGGUGGGCAGUUUGACUGGGGCGGUCGCCUCCUAAAGAGUAACGGAGGCGUUCAAAGGUUCGCUCAGCUUGAACGGAAAUCAAGCAAAAGAGUGCAAACGCAGAAGCGAGCCUAACUGCGAGACUGACGGGUCGAGCAGUAACGAAAGUUGGAGUUAGUGAUCCGGUGGUAUGUGAGUGGAAAUGCCAUCGCUCAACGGAUAAAAGUUACCCUGGGGAUAACAGGCUGAUCUCCCCCAAGAGUCCACAUCGACGGGGAGGUUUGGCACCUCGAUGUCGGCUCAUCGCAUCCUGGGGCUGUAUUCGGUCCCAAGGGUUUGGCUGUUCGCCAAUUAAAGCGGUACGCGAGCUGGGUUCAGAACGUCGUGAGACAGUUCGGUCCCUAUCUGUCGUGGGCGCAGGAUAUUUGAUGGGAGCUGUUCCUAGUACGAGAGGACCGGAGCGGACGUACCUCUGGCGCACCAGUUGUUCUGCCAAGAGCAUAGCUGGGCAACUAUGUACGGAUCGGAUAAACGCUGAAAGCAUCUAAGCGUGAAGCCGACCCAAAGAUAAGAUAUCCCACUGAUUCGAUCAGGUAAGAUCCCUUGAAGACUACAAGGUUGAUAGGCACAAUGUGUAAGUGGAGUGAUCCAUUCAGCAAGCGUGUACUAAUAGAUCGAGGGCUUGACU